rnacentral:rRNA from 1 species
GACGAACGCUGGCGGCGUGCCUAAUACAUGCAAGUCGAGCGGACCGGAUCGGAGCUUGCUCUGGUUUGGUCAGCGGCGGACGGGUGAGUAACACGUGGGCAACCUGCCCGCAAGACCGGGAUAACUCCGGGAAACCGGAGCUAAUACCGGAUAACACCGAAGACCGCAUGGUCUUUGGUUGAAAGGCGGCCUUUGGCUGUCACUUGCGGAUGGGCCCGCGGCGCAUUAGCUAGUUGGUGAGGUAACGGCUCACCAAGGCGACGAUGCGUAGCCGGCCUGAGAGGGUGACCGGCCACACUGGGACUGAGACACGGCCCAGACUCCUACGGGAGGCAGCAGUAGGGAAUCUUCCGCAAUGGACGAAAGUCUGACGGAGCGACGCCGCGUGAGCGAAGAAGGCCUUCGGGUCGUAAAGCUCUGUUGUGAGGGACGAAGGAGCGCCGUUUGAACAAGGCGGCGCGGUGACAGUACCUCACGAGGAAGCCCCGGCUAACUACGUGCCAGCAGCCGCGGUAAUACGUAGGGGGCGAGCGUUGUCCGGAAUUAUUGGGCGUAAAGCGCGCGCAGGCGGUUCCUUAAGUCUGAUGUGAAAGCCCACGGCUCAACCGUGGAGGGUCAUUGGAAACUGGGGGACUUGAGUGCAGGAGAGGAGAGCGGAAUUCCACGUGUAGCGGUGAAAUGCGUAGAGAUGUGGAGGAACACCAGUGGCGAAGGCGGCUCUCUGGCCUGCAACUGACGCUGAGGCGCGAAAGCGUGGGGAGCAAACAGGAUUAGAUACCCUGGUAGUCCACGCCGUAAACGAUGA